rnacentral:rRNA from 1 species
UACAUGGGGUGCAAACGUUGCUCGGAAUUAUUGGGCGUAAAGCGCGCGUAGGUGGCUCGUUAUGUUGGAUGUGAAAGCCCUAGGCUCAACUUAGGAAGUGCAUCCAAAACUGGCGAGCUAGAGUAUGGAAGAGGAUCGCGGAAUUCCCGGUGUAGAGGUGAAAUUCGUAGAUAUCGGGAGGAACACCGGUGGCGAAGGCGGCGAUCUGGGCCAAUACUGACACUGAGGUGCGAAAGCGUAGGGAGCAAACAGG